GGCCGGGGAUGCUGGUUGUGAGACAGGGCUGCGGCAGGGCUGGGCUGUGGGGCUGAGGAGCAGGGCUGGGGGCUGGGGGCUGGGGGCUGUGUGCUGGGCCCCCACGGGGGCUCUGCGGCAGGGCAGCCUCCGACGCGGUGUUCCCGAAGGCAGCCCUGCUCCUGAGGGGCUGGAAGCAGAGGAAGGGAAAUCCGCCUUGUCCCGGGGGUAACCUCCUAAACCCAAGCGGAGAACUGAGGCUGCUUCGGGCUGUUUAACGCAACAAAAGCCUUCGCUUUCGGACACUGUUGAAAUAACGCAGGGCUCAGACACUUCCCCUCCUUCAUGGAAACGGAUCGUCGUGCUUCAGAGUCUGCCCUGCCGCUUUCGGCCGAAAAAGGGCCGAGGAGCUAUGGAGCGGGCGUGAACCGAACUGCCCUCCAGCUCUCAGCUCACAGAGACGUGGGAAGUCGCAAUCAUGAAAGAAACGAACGUGGGAAAUGAGCGCAGAAGCCCGGAGCGGCUCAGACGGCUCCCACAGCCCGCAGAGCCCGGCGCUGUGCGCUCCUGGCACCGCCCGGCCGUGCGGCUCUCGCUGCCGGCUGUUGUCUCCCAGCCCUUUCCGCCCCGCUGCUCAGGGCUCGGUCCGAAUCCUUUUGCUCGACAGCGAAAGAACAAAAAUGAGAGAUCUGAGCGCUGUGUUCGCUGUUGGGAACCGUGUUUAAAAAUACCCACUUCGAGACCAAACACGCCGUGGAGGAAAUCGAAUUGCUGAGCUUGUGGCUACCAGUGGAGUGUUAGGAGGCACGUGUUAACAGGGCACAUGCAGUUCACUGAACCCCGAGCACUGAAAUGUAACUCAUCUCCUGUGAGAUCUUACAUAAUUCUCCCUGUCAGAAGAGCAUGUUGCCAUUUGGAGAUGGAUGGAUGUGGACCUGGUCUGUGUACAGCCCCUCUCACGUGAACUGAACCUGAUAAAUUCAGGCCGAUGUUUGAAAAAAAAGGCCGUGAAAGUGUGGCCACAGUCACAGCGUUUUCAGAUACCUUUGAACUGUCAGCAGGCUCCAUUUCUGAUUUCCAUCAUCCCUUUAUGAUUAUUAUCACUGCUCACAAUUGCAAACUCUUCCCAAAACCUACAGAAGUCACCUGCCUUGAAGUCUUCUUUCCCGUGCUGGCAUUUCCUUUUUGUGAGGAGUGGCUGUUGGAGCUGGGGCUGUUUAGGCUGGGGAAAGGAGACUGAGGGGAGACCUUAUUGCUCUCUUUCAGUAUCUGAAAGGUGCUUACAGCGAGAGCGGGGUAGGUCUCUUCUCACUGGCGACAGGUGACAGGAUGAGGAGAAAUGGCCUCCAGUUGUGCCAGGGUAAGUUUGGGUUGGAUAUCAGGAAACACUUCUUUACAGAAAGGGCUGCUAAACACUGGAAUAGGCUCCCCAGGGAGGUGGCUGAGUCACCAUCAAUGGACGUGUUUAAAGACCGUUUGAGUGUGGUGCUCAGGGACGUGAUUUAGCAGGGGUUGUUAGGGUAGGAUGGUUAGGCUGUGGUUGGACUCGAUGAUCUUUAAGGUCUUUUCCAACCUGAGCGAUUCUAUGAUUCUGUGAUUCUAUGGCGAAGCACAAGCAGCAUGGAGCUAUUUUCUCUGUAAUAUCACAAGCACGUACAACCCUUUUAACGGGCAAGCGUAGUUCAUGUGCUGAAUAAUGCCAAUCUUCGUGCGUUUCGCUGUUUUCCAAUGGAAUCUCUUCGGAAGCGGCCGUCGUUCUUUUCUCCGGAGUUCGGUGCCCCCUGCUGGCCGCUCUGCUGCCGGGGAUGCCCGCCGUCCCCGCGGCUCAGGAGCUGCCCAGCCCGGCCUGCCUCCCAGGCGGCCGCAGGAGAAGCUGGGGGUGCCUUCCAGCUCCUGGGAGGUGCUGCUUAAAGAUGCCUUUGAAUUCUGUUUUAUUUUCAUUCCUUUUUGUUCCCUAUUCGCUGCGAGGAAGCUGGACUGGAUGACCUUUAAUGCCGCCUUCCGACUCAAACGAUUCUGGGAUGAAUCUGUGAUUUGACUUUUGGGUUGCAUGAGGAGUCUUGGCUGGAUAUUUGAUGUCUUUUUGUCAGCACAGCGCUUCAUUAAACAGAAAAAAAGAGCCACCCGGAUGAGUAGUUAUGUUGAUCAUCUCAUCUGUGCUGCGCCCUGAAAGGGCAGAAACAACGACCUAAGAAAGGUGAUGCAGCAACAAUAUUUGAAGAAACCAGUCCCAUACUGAAUAUCAGGACAGAGAAGACUGAUGCUGGAAACUGCUGUCCUGUAAGUCUAACACUUCUAUCUCGUGUAAAAUGUCUGUGAAGUGAGUUGUCCAUAUUAAGAGAGAGAACCACUUUCUUAACUCCCAUAUGACAGCUGAUCUAUGAGCAAAAGUGGCAUGGACUUAUGCAGGAUAGCUGUCACCAUUGGUAGUAUCCCACUAGCAGACAAUGGCUGGAGAAACAUAGACAAUGUGGAUAGAUGUUCAGUACAGUGUUCUAUGCUCCAUUUCACUCACAAAAUUAAGGCAUUCAGUGUAGAAAAUGAAAUCUGUUAUGGACUGAAUAUUGACCAUAAAUAAUGCUCAAGAUGAUAAAGCAGAAAUAUAGGACACUGCAGGAAUCUUGUAAUGCCCGAACUUGGUUUACACAUUCAUUUUUGGAUGUAUAAUAAAAAUCAAAAGCAAAGCGCUCCCAGUUUCAGAAGAUUCUAAUCCUGAAAUGAGGUGAAAUGAGAAAUGAAAAUGGCAAAAAUCAGGAAAACAGGGGUAAGACAGAAGAAAAAAAGGAG
rnacentral:lncRNA from 1 species